CAGCGGGGCAGGGAAGGGACAGGAGGAUGCGUGUGAAGAGCAAAUGGUGGCUGGUGAGAUGGCAGCGUGGGUGGAGAGCCCUAAAUGGUCGAGCUGGCUCAUAGGAAGCUGAAAGGAUGCUAAUGGGAGGUAGGGGAAAUGAGCCCAGGCAGCAUAGAACUGAGUGAGAGGUGGGGAAUUUGACAUGCAUGUCACGAGGGAGAAGGGAAAAACAGAGGCAGUGGUAUAGAGGGAAUUGCUCACCUCCCCAUCCUCACUGGCACACACGCAGAGGGGCAGUCAUUUAAGCUGCUCCAAGCACUUUUUUAGCCUCAGCCUUUGUUAAGAGACUCUUCAGCAGCCCCAAGUGUAAGCCACUCUCUGGACAGCAUCUCUGACCACGUUCCUUGGGGAAAACUGGAUGAACCAUGCUGAAGAUGCCAGCUGGUGGCACGGGGCGCAGGGAAGCGAUAUGGGACCCAGGAGGUGAGGAUGAAGGGACUGCCUGCUGCUUCACUGAAGGUCACGUGCAUUCAGGUGGCCACAUCUACUUUGGGCUGAAGUGUAUCUGAAGAAAGCCAAGACCCAGGCUCUUGUAGUCUGCCAAGCGUUGAUACUGGGCUUUCCCAUCCCUACAUCCUUUUUGAAGCCAACUUGUGAGCUCUUUGCCUACUCUUUACACGAGAAAAUUAAGACAUGAAAGCCUGCAAACCAGCAAAGGAGAAUGGAUUACAGCCUCCAGCAUCAGUGCAGAAGCUGUUCCAGAAGGAAGAGUGUUGCACCUUGGUCAAAAUAUGGGCUAAAAUAGAUUCAGGACAAUGAGUUCAUCCAACUAUCCUCUUUGACCCUGCCACCCUGUAAAGACCCACUUGGUUAGAAGGCAUUGUUCAGGGUACAACAGGACAGUGGGCUUCUGUCAGGUACCCACCAUCCUGUACCCCACCACUGAACCUUCUUGGAGAGAGAACUUCAGCAGUAGUCACUCUCUGACAAUUCUGCCUGGGAUAUUUCUGGGAAGUGCAUUGCACUGAGACAUCACCAAAACUAGACCUGAGAAGAGUCA
ensembl:lncRNA